rnacentral:rRNA from 1 species
UACGUAGGGUGCAAGCGUUGUCCGGAAUUAUUGGGCGUAAAGAGCUCGUAGGCGGUUUGUUGCGUCGGCUGUGAAAUCCCGAGGCUCAACCUCGGGUCUGCAGUCGAUACGAGCAAACUAGAGUGCGGUAGGGGAGACUGGAAUUCCUGGUGUAGCGGUGAAAUGCGCAGAUAUCAGGAGGAACACCGGUGGCGAAGGCGGGUCUCUGGGCCGAUACUGACGUGAGGAGCGAAAGCGUGGGGAGCGAACAGG